UGCUUCGCUUAACUCGAGCCAUUUUGGAAGGCCUUACGUAGCGUCGUCUGUCUUCUCGUGGAAAAAAAAUCUUUAACCAGUGUUUUACUUUACGUGUGUGUCGACGCGACCUCUUGUCAAACUUGUAAAACGUCGUUAACUUACGUAAACAGGUUAUAAGAGAGAAUCGUUUUAUGAAGUUUGUUCUCUGGAGAAGUGCUUUGGAGCUGUUGUCAUCCGGUGUUGACGCACAACAACGUCCCGUCUUGCAUCGAACAAAGGACUAAAAGCGAUGUUCCUCCGUUAGUAUAAUAUAUUUGAAUUAUUAAAAGAGCAACACUUUAAAUCUAUCCUGAAAAAAAAAACGUUUUUUUCCUUUCGUUUUUUGUGGAGAAUAUUUUUUUUCCCCUCAGAGAGGGAAAACUGAUUCAGCUCUGUUAGCAUCAGCUAAGGUUAGCCGGACUAGCAACGAGCUAACCGCGGUUCAGUUUUCAUUUAGGAAACAUUUGUCAUUCGGUGUAGAGAGCGAAAAUGGCCGAAGGCUACAUUCGGGUGGCAGAGGAGGAAAACGAGGAGCCCAUGGAGAUCCCCGCCGAGGACGAUGGGACGGUUCUAUUGUCCACGGUAGCUGCUCAGUUUCCAGGGGCGUGCGGCCUGCGCUUCAGGAGCCCCGUGUCUCAGUGUAUGCGAGGUGUGCGUCUCGUGGAGGGAGUCCUUCACGCGCCAGAAACCGGAUGGGGGAACGUUGUUUACGUGGUGAACUAUCCAAAAGACAAUAAAAGGAAAAUGGAUGAAAUUGAUGCCUCCUCUGCUGUGAAGAUGAAGAGGGGAGACAUGAAGACCUCUGACUUGAUUGUUCUUGGUCUCCCUUGGAAAACAACUGAACAGGAUCUAAAAGACUACUUCAGCACAUUUGGGGAAGUCAUAAUGGUUCAGGUAAAACGAGACGCUAAGACUGGUAACUCUAAAGGAUUUGGCUUCGUGAGGUUCACAGAGUACGAGGCUCAGGAAAAGGUGAUCUCCCAGCGCCACAUGAUCGAUGGGAGAUGGUGUGACUGCAAGCUUCCUAACUCGAAGGUGAAUAUGCAAGGUCCCGAUGAGCCGCUUAGGAGUCGUAAAGUGUUUGUCGGUCGUUGCACAGAGGACAUGACCACAGAUGACCUCCGUCAAUUUUUCAUGCAGUACGGAGAAGUCACAGAUGUUUUCAUCCCCAAGCCAUUCCGUGCUUUUGCCUUCGUUACAUUCGCAGAUGAUCAGGUUGCCCAGUCUCUUUGUGGAGAGGAUCUCAUCAUCAAAGGUGUCAGCGUGCACAUCUCAAACGCUGAGCCCAAGCAUGGCAACAGGCAGUUUGAUCGCACAGCCCGCUUUGGGAAUGGUUUCGGGGCCCAGGCGUUCGGUAGCAACCGUAGUGGGUUGGGGAGCAGCGCCAACAGUAGUCUGGCUAAUUUUGGUUCCUUUAGCCUGAACCCUGCCAUGAUGGCCGCUGCUCAGGCUGCUCUGCAAAGUAGUUGGGGUAUGAUGGGUAUGCUGGCCAGCCAGCAGCAGACGUCCACCUCAGGUAGCAGCUCCAGCGGGACAAGUUCAAACAGGGAACAGGGUCAGUCUUUCAGUGCAGGCAACAGCAACUAUGGCACCAGCUCGGCCAGUCUGGGCUGGGGUUCAGGGUCAAACUCUGCAACCAGUGGUAGCGGCUUUAGCUCAGGGUUUGGAUCCAGCAUGGAGUCAAAGUCCUCUGGGUGGGGUAUGUAGGUUUAGUGUUUCUAUGGUAAGUAUCCAGAGAGAUGAGUGUUUUAAAAAGUUUGCUUCUGGUGUUGAUGCGUUUAUGACAUCUAAAAACUUUUGUGGAAGAUGUUUUGUACAUUAUAACAAAAACAAACAAAAAAAAAACUGCUAAAGAUAUAAUUUAGGGAUUGUUGCAGUGAAUUGUUUACCAGGAUCUCUGACUAAAGUGCUAUUUUUGCUGUCCCGUAUGUUUGUAUCCAUUUCAACUGGAUUCUCUAAUGCAUGUAUUGUGAAAUGUGACGCCCCAUUUAAAAAAUGCAUGAAUGUCUGUGGUUCACCAUUAUCCGGCUUUUGUCACCAUCAGCUUGAAAGGCAAUCUUGCAUUGGAAAGAAUCUGGUUGAAAACUAAAUGUCUAUUUUUUAUUUUUUUAUGAGUACAACUUUAUUUGCAGUCAAGUUCUGUGGAAAAGCCUUCACUGAAAUCUCUUCUGCAGUAUACUUCUCAUCCAUUUCCCUGCGAGGAAGCUCCUCUUUGACAGCAUUCUUGGGGUGAUACCCGUAUAUCUCCCUCUUCCCACCUGUAAAUGCUAUACCAUCAAAGAACGGCCUCACUCCGCAUGGUCUGAGAGACGGGACCUUGGGCUCUGCUGGUCGAGGUCUCCGUUUGAACCCUGACCUGAAGGAUGAAGAUGGAAGUUCCAACACUUUCAGUGUGUGGCCUUCUCAGACAUGACAUGGGGUAGUACCUGUCUUUUUGCUGCUUUCAUUAGAUUGAAUUCCUUUUUAUAACCAUCUACCUUUAAGGUACAUCCAGGUAAAAACUAGUUGAUCACUCAUUUGCGUCGAAGGGAAAUUUGUAGCUCAGUACCGUAUGCAAACCUUAGAAUUCCAGGUUACACCAUGUAGUUUUUUUGUUUUUUUUUCACCCUGUAAGAUCCUUUAAAACAUGUGUAAGUUCUGAUGUAUUGAGUCAGGAGUCAAAGUGCCAUGCAGCUUUUGGAUGUUUUCCCGGUUUAAACAAUGCAAAUCCACAUGCCUGCUAAUCCACAAAUUGUCUCAUUUAGGUGUGUUAAUGCAGGAACACCUUAAAACUAAGGACUAGAGAUGGAAACUUGUGGAUUAAAUGGUUUAUUUAUUGGAGCUAUAAACCUUAGGCAGCUUUCCUGUUAGAUAAGUACUUAUGGUUCCAUCAGUAACAGUUUACCUUUCAAACUCAAGUCAGAGAUGAGUCGUAAACAUGUAAAAGACCAUACUGAUAUGAAGUGUUUUAGCAGUAAACCCUCCAUCUGUAUUCUUGUUUCUUUAAUAUCUUUGAAGCCUUGAUAGUAUUUCCAAAUCUGUUUUGUGACAGAACCAAACUCCUUGCUGUAUUGUCUUCAGCAAUUUUCCUUCCUUCUGUCUCUUUAAGCCGCCUGCUAAUAUAUUCAGCAAACUGUCUUAUGAUGUAAUGUCUUCCUCAACAUGUGAGGUGUUUUUAUUAGAAUGGUGAUAAGGUAUGGUUUGACAUCCACCAGGGUUAACUUGAGCUGAUUAUUUCUUGGUUUAUCUCUGCUUUUUUGCUUUAUAAAUAUUACACAUCGAGUCACUUGAAAUCCUAAACCAAAGUUUAUUCAAAGUGUAGACAUUGGCUUUCUUUUUGCCAUUUUGGCUGCUGGUUCCAGCCUUCACAGGUGUAAACAGUAGCCGUGCAUCAAUUUGUACUCAUUUAUCUGCUUUAUUAUUAACCCAUUUUUCUGCAUAAAUUAGGUUAUUUGACUCCAAUAGGUAAGGCAGCAUCUGCGGGGGGGUUACAUUUUUACUGUGGGUCAAACUUUUUAUAAAAAUCUGCCACCCCAAACUGGCAUAAGAACUUUAUGUAUAUAAAAGUUAUAGAACAUGUCCGUAAAAUAAAUGCAUCUUUGCUCAUUUGAGGGUUUGUUUCAUUAUAAACACGCACAAAAAUAAACAGUUGUAUGAAUCGAUCAGGACAAAACAUCAAAUUGACAUUGAAGCAGCCUUUUUUGGUCAGUCUUGUUUUUCUAUCCAUGUUGGGCAUAUGUCAGGUGCUGCAGGCUUCCCAGUGUCCUCAUUCUUUACUUUCCUCCUCUGUGUCUCUGCUCUUCCUCUUCCCUGUAUUCUUCUUUCUGGUAUCUUUCUGCUCCUGGGCCAAUUCUUCACUUUUAUUUUGUAUGUGUCUGGACUGAAAUAAAGAGACAUGAAACAAA